GAUGAACGCUGGCGGCGUGCUUAACACAUGCAAGUCGAACGGUGAAGGCGGAGCUUGCUCUGCUGGAUCAGUGGCGAACGGGUGAGUAACACGUGAGCAAUCUGCCCCUGACUCUGGGAUAAGCGCUGGAAACGGCGUCUAAUACUGGAUACGAGCUGCGAAGGCAUCUUCAGCAGCUGGAAAGAACUUCGGUCAGGGAUGAGCUCGCGGCCUAUCAGCUUGUUGGUGAGGUAACGGCUCACCAAGGCGUCGACGGGUAGCCGGCCUAAGAGGGUGACCGGCCACACUGGGACUGAGACACGGCCCAGACUCCUACGGGAGGCAGCAGUGGGGAAUAUUGCACAAUGGGCGAAAGCCUGAUGCAGCAACGCCGCGUGAGGGACGACGGCCUUCGGGUUGUAAACCUCUUUUAGCAGGGAAGAAGCGAAAGUGACGGUACCUGCAGAAAAAGCGCCGGCUAACUACGUG
rnacentral:rRNA from 1 species